CUUUCGCCACUCCUAUCUUGAAAG
rnacentral:miRNA from 1 species